GUAUGAACUCAUUUCACUCUUUCGAUAACCGGGGUGGAUGCUGUGACUACAGAUGAAGGAGCUGAGGCCAGGAGGGGCAGGAGAUCUGUGCCAUGUCACCCCCUGGCUGGGAGGAGCGCUAAGAAGGGCUGAGACAUAGAAGCAGGCGGCCACAGACAGCCUGCUGGAAGGAUGCACUUUCUGGAGGAAAUGGAGCUAGUUGUACCCCUAAGGGCUAGGGUGGGGCGUUUCACACAAAGAAACGGCAGAUUUGAAGACCCGGCGGGGUGGGGGAGGGUGGAGGGGAGGCCAGGCCAAAGCCAGAGGGCGUGGACUGCAUUUCAGAAAAUUCUUAUCCGGUUCCCAGAUAGACAUCCCAUAGGUGAGAUGCCAGCGUCACUUAAAUUGGCCGUCAGAAUAAACCCCUCCCAUGCAGGCUGCGGUUUUUCCAGCCCUGCCUCUGUGCCUCUCCUGCUUCUGUCCUUCCCGGGUGCAAUCCCACGUUCAGGGGUAAAAGGCAUUCCCUUGUUUGUGUAAAAAAAAGUUUAAGAAAUGACUCAAGCGCUAGAGCCCAGGGUGGGUGCAGUCUGUUUCUGUAAGUUUUCUUUGUGUGAGUCUUUGCGUGUUUCUAGUUUCUCCCUUCAACCUGGUGGCUGACAGUGGCCCUGGAUCCAUGUCCCUACAAGCCCAGACACCCAGAGGCAGACACCUGAUACUGGCAUCUGCCUGCCUGCAGGAUAAGAGCGUGUCCUCUUUACCUGCGAUUGGACAUGAUCUAUUUAUUAAUUACGGAAUUUGCCCGGUAAUCACACGUUGGCAGCAUAUCCCCUGCCAUCUUCCCACGUCCCCCGAGGGAGCCACCUUUCUGCCCUCCGUGGGGCAGCUCGUUUUCAUCUUCAAAAUGCAUUCCGUUCUUCCCCCACCAUAAUUGGUGCUCACAGGAAUCCUGCGACCCAGGUGGAGGAGAUGUUUUUGUCUCCAUCUCGCAGGUGGAAGAACCGAGGCUCAGAGCUGGGGAGUGUGGUGUUUGAGUGCCG
ensembl:lncRNA